rnacentral:rRNA from 1 species
UGCAGUCGAAACGGCAGAUUGGUAGUAAUACUAAUCCUAGAGUGGCGCACGGGUGCGUAACGCGUAUGCAACCUACCCAUUACUGGGGGAUAGCCCGGAGAAAUUCGGAUUAAUACCCCAUGGUAUUAUUGAACGGCAUCGUUUAAUAAUUAAAGAUUUAUCGGUAAUGGAUGGGCAUGCGUCUGAUUAGUUAGUUGGUGAGGUAACGGCUCACCAAGACGAUGAUCAGUAGGGGUUCUGAGAGGAUGAUCCCCCACACUGGCACUGAGAUACGGGCCAGACUCCUACGGGAGGCAGCAGUAGGGAAUAUUGGUCAAUGGUCGAGAGACUGAACCAGCCAUGCCGCGUGCAGGAAGACGGCCUUCUGGGUUGUAAACUGCUUUUAUACGGGAAUAAAAGACUCAUGCGUGAGGCAUUGCAGGUACCGUAAGAAUAAGGAUCGGCUAACUCCGUGCCAGCAGCCGCGGUAAUACGGAGGAUCCAAGCGUUGUCCGGAUUUAUUGGGUUUAAAGGGUGCGUAGGCGGUCUAUUAAGUCAGUGGUGAAAGCCGACAGCUCAACUGUCGAAUUGCCAUUGAUACUGGUAGACUUGAGUACAGACGAGGUAGGCGGAAUUUAUGGUGUAGCGGUGAAAUGCAUAGAUACCAUAAGGAACACCGAUAGCGAAGGCAGCUUACUGGACUGUAACUGACGC